rnacentral:rRNA from 1 species
AACGAACGCUGGCGGCAGGCCUAACACAUGCAAGUCGAGCGCUGUAGCAAUACAGAGCGGCGCACGGGUGAGGAACACGUGGGAACGUGCCCAACGGUUUGGAAUAACUCAGGGAAACUUGAGCUAAUACCGGAUACGCCCCUUCGGGGGGAAAGAUUUAUCGCCGAUGGAGCGGCCCGCGUCCGAUUAGCUUGUUGGUGAGGUAAAAGCUCACCAAGGCGACGAUCGGUAGCUGGUUUGAGAGAACGAUCAGCCACACUGGGACUGAGACACGGCCCAGACUCCUACGGGAGGCAGCAGUGGGGAAUCUUGGACAAUGGGGGCAACCCUGAUCCAGCCAUGCCGCGUGAGUGAUGAAGGCCCUAGGGUUGUAAAACUCUUUCGGCGGGGACGAUAAUGACGGUACCCGCAGAAGAAGCUCCGGCUAACUUCGUG